CUCCGUAGCGCACUCGCUCUCUAGUUUUCUUGUCGGUCAUACCACGCUCGUGCGUUCGCUCGCUUGUUCGGAGCGCUCUCUUCUUGUAUUCGCAUCCGCAGACUCCACAUACAGCACACACGCGCCAUGGCGAACGGUGUGACGGCCAACAGCAUGCGAGUGACGGCGAAGCCGCCAGACCUCGGCUCCUUUCCGCUCGAUCACUACCGUGAGUGCAAGAGCGAGAUCGAGAAGUACUAUGCUUGCUUGAAGGAAAACAACUACAUGACGCCCAUGUGCCGCGAUCCGGUUCGCGAGUACCUCGAGUGCCGCAUGGACCGUGGGCUCAUGAAGAAGACCGAUGUGAAGAGCUUCGGCAUUCCGGAGACGGAGUUUGUGCCGACGAAGCAGCACCGCAUCGACUUGAAGGAGCAGUGGUUGCGACAGAAAAUGAACCAGAUAGGCGUGGUCGGGGUGGAGAACUACAUACGCGAUGACCUGGAUACGCCGGACGGGUAUGAGAAGGAGAAGGGGGCCUGAGUAGAUCACCCCUCCCCCUCCACUCCAGGCGGAGCAGGAGAGGUGGUCAGAGAGGUUAGCGGGAGGGGAGCGCGCACACGUGGAUACGGCCGCUUUGAGCAGAUGUGGACCCCACGAGAAGCAACGCGCUGGGGUUUUUUUCUCUCCUGCUCUCGCAUCGUUGCUCCCUUCCCUCCCCCUUCAUCCCUCCUGGCCCUGGCCCCGGCCCCGGCCCUUCCUCACCGACGGCCGGCAUUUUGUUGGCUGCCGUCCAUUUUGCGUCUUUCGUUUUUGUUGUCACUGCUCUCGUGCCUCGCUCGUCGGAGCUGCGCAGGCUGUCGCCCUGUCGUUGUGUGCCUGUGUGGACUGUGGAUGUCGUUGUCUCGUUUUCGCUCGUAGUCGGUGUAGCCCCGUGACGGCAUGGGGGAGCACACCUCUCCGUGCGUGCUAUCUCAGGGUCCAGUGCCCACCCACCCCCCUCGCAACUCGCUGUGCUGGAAAGCCAAGCAGCACCCCGAUCCCCAUCCCCUGCCAAGUGCCGAGCCGCUUCUGCUGGUGACAGGGGGGUUAGUGUUGGGUGCAGGGGCCGCGCUCAGGUCACCGAGCUGGCGCCUUGCCGUAAACGCGUGUGUCUCCUGCCGCCUCGCACCACGCGGAUGGGGCCUGUGGCAGGGGCCGAGUGGUGGGGAAUGGGAUGCGGAGUGGCGUUGGGCCUCGCGUUGCAUGGCCGAGAGAUAGAGAGCGUGGACACAAGCUGGCAUGCGUAUGCGAGGGUGCUUGGGCGCACUGCCACCUGGUCCUCUGGCUGGCGCGUGUCCGUCUUCCCCCCCCCGCCUCUCUCUCUCUCUGGCCCUACUCGUUCUCUGUCGAUUGCUGCCUGUUUAGCUCCAUCACACAGAUCACGUCACACGUUUUGGCUCCGCAAGGCACACCGAAAAGGGGGGGCUGGUGUCCGCGGCGUCUGCGCAAUGUUCGUCGAGGCGGAUCACAUGCAUUGGUGCAGCGGAGCUGCGUCUUGUGCAUGACCCUCCCAGGCGGGGCUCCCCUCCCCUCCCACUGCCAUCCCCCUGUGCCCUCGCUUCGCUUGUGAUUUUCUUUGUAUUUGCUUUUCUGCUGCUCGUUUUUCGGAUGAUCUCGUUGCUUAACGCUCCUCUUAGCGCCCCGUCUCCCCCUCCCCGGCUUCUCCUCAAUUCUCACACUAUAUAUGCCGUUUCGUGCAG
rnacentral:misc_RNA from 1 species